ACAUGGGAUAUCAUAACAAUUUCAAUUCACAAAAAAAAUCAGUAAAAACAUCUUGAUUGUGCUUUCCUUUAUUAUACUUUUCAAAGUUUGCUUUUAGCACAUGCUCUGUGUUUCUUGUAUGCGUGGACACCUCACUUGGCUCCGGAGUUGGAAGCGGUCAGUUUUCUGUUUCUUGGCCAUUUAGUUUGGUUAUCAUAGAGCCUGUCGAAGUAGAGGAGCUGGUUAAAGUUUGUGCCUUUAACUGGUGGAUAGUUGGGAUUGUUGAUAGAUUUGCCAGCAAAGAUUUUGAGUGCUCAAAACAAGAAGGUUGAGGGGAUAAAGAGAAGUGCUGUUUCUGUGAAGGUGGAGAUGGCAGAGAAUGUCCAUUUCUUGGAAUGAAUGGUUGUUGAGAUGAGGCAAAUAUGUGUAGGGGAAUAGCUUUAAAGCUUAGCCUGGAAACAUCCCAUGAGCUGUAACUUUUGGAAGUGGAAGCUAGGAAAAUGACAUGAACGAAACAGAACGCAGCACUCCUUAUCUUUUGCACAAGUAAUAUCUGGACAGUGAUGAUUCAAAUUAAAGUCACUAAUGCUAAAUUAAAGCUUGAUUACAAUGAUUAGAUAAAUUCAAGCUGCUUGUUGCUGGUGGCACAUAGUUUAGAAAAGGAAAAUGGGACAAAUGAAAAUUUUCCUUGCAAAUUUUAUCUCCGAGGUGACAAAGUCGUGCGACAGCUGCAGCUAACAUACCGGUAGAAAUCACAGUUGUUUAUAAUUGAAAUGUGUAUCAACGUAUACAGUACAAACAAGAUUCACCAGGCCAUAAUUAUUUGCUUGACAUAUUUUAUCUUCAUGACUUGGUCCUUCCAAUAGCACGAAGAUGCAGACUUCCUUCAAUGUGAAGUGUGAACAUUGUCCUGUAAGUUAUUUUUCUUGUGUCAUCAGCUAUGGAUACUAUCUUCAUCUGCCGGUACGCGAAGUCUUUGCCCAGACAUAUCCGAGGACCUGCCUGCAAGGGGACAACCAACAACUUUGGAAAUUGUUUCACACGUUAUGUCUGCAACAAACGAAGAGAAGAUACUAACAUGAAAUGCUAUGAGCUUGAACGGUGAUACAUGUUGGAAAAUCCCAUUGUUGAGCCAUCUUUCUGGCCGAAAAUCCUCGGCAUCGUCUCCCCAAAUGUAAGGCAUCCUACCCAUGGCAUAUGCCAUAUAGUAUAGUCCGUCACCCUUUUUCAUUCUAAAGCCAUCAGGAAGAAUGUCAUCCACUUAUGCACACCUCCCGUUCUUGUGAUUUCUUGACAACUUGGGAGUAAUGCUUGAUUUCUUUCAACAUGCAUGUCUGUGUUAUUAGCUACGUAAAGUUGAGCAUUGAAUUAGAUUGGUCGAAAAUUGCUCGCGGAGAACUCUUGUGGUGAAAGUUCAUGCUCACUUGAAACUUGACUUCUUGAAGUUUUUGUCAUGAUGACUGUUUUACAUUGCUAAAAUUGCUUUAGAAUUGGGUACUUAUACCACCAUGAAACAUAUAGAAAGUUGGCUAAUACAGAAUAGAGUAGAGGGAAAUCAUCCAUGUAACUGAUCACAACUGUGUUUGGGAUCGAAUAAGGCUUUGCUGAGUAGAGUGCUUUCACUGAUUAACUCAUGAGGAAGGAGCUAGAUACUGAGUUUGCUAGUUCUGCAUCUAACUCAUGAUGUGUGGCCCUCAGACUCUCUCUGGGAUGUAUUAAGUAUGAGCAAUUAUGUGCCAUGGGUCUCAUCUUGUUAUCUCAUUUUUACAGGGAGAACCUUUUACUCAGGAAGCUAAUGUGAUUUUUGUAAUGGUAGUGCCUGUGACUAACCUAAUUUUUGCAAUGAAAGCUACUUCAUGACAGCUAUUUAUGUCUGCAUUUUAUUUUUAGAAAUGUAAGCUAUUUGUUUCGAGUGCAAUACUCGGACCUGAUGUGUUUGUGGUCAGGUGGUCAACACAGAGUUUCCAAGAAUUUUGGAUCAUCGGUAGGAUUUUUGUUAGGGGGGCAUGUACUUAUAAUUGCCGCGGGCAGAAUGAUAAGGCUACGGGUUAAUGCAUUAAACUUGCCAAGGACUUAGUGGAGGAUAUCAAUCUAUUAUGGCCCCUGUAGGUUUUUUCUCUAGUUUGAAGAGGGUGCUACAAGGAUUCAUGUAGUGGACUUGGUGUACUUGAAAUUCUGUUCAAUUUCAUUUCUAAUUUGGCUGCAUGUGGAUUCAAAUUUUAGUAUCUAAACCCCAUUCACAGGCAGGCUUGUUCAAGCAAUAUGGUUUGUUGAACAUCUACAUGAUCACAUUUUAAUAUGUGGAAGAAAAACAAUAAAAUCCGAGGAGAGUCAGGACUUUCCUGGACGUGAGGAGAUACAGUUUGGAGAUGUCGUCCAAGCUCCCCCAAAGCUUACUGCCCCUUCUAAGAUAUACUGAGCUAAGCACUGUCUCUGUGGAUGGCACAAACAUGGAGGCCUCCAUCAACAUGAAGAUUAAUCAUUGUCCUGUAGUUGACAGGUUUCCUUUCAUCAGCGAGUUUAAAAAUGAAACUGCCCAAUAAGACAGCCGCGAAGAUCUUCAUCUGCCUAUAAGCAAAUUCCUUCCCAAGACAUAUCCGUGGCCCUGCCUGUUAACCAGCAGAAAGUCUGAUUUUAGUCAUUUGGUCAACGAGAUUGGGAGUCCAUAAAGUUAAGCUGAGCUAGCACUGAAAAUAGAUCUUAAUGAUUUGCACAGCAAAGGCAGCAGAAAAUUUAAUUGAAUGUUAAUCAAGUGAAUUAGACAGAUCUUUAUUUCCACUAACCUGGAAAGCUGUAAACUUGAAAGGGCUUUCUUGCUGAAACACGCCAUCCUCAUUGAGCCAUCUUUCAGGCUUGUAUUCCUCAGCAUCAUCGCCCCAUAUGAACUUCAUCCUGCCCAUUGCAUAAGCCAGGAAUUGCAAGUGCACCUAAUUUCUUCUUACCACAGGCACAGAUGGAUACAGUCUAAGAGUUUCAGUAAUUGCUGCAUGGAGAUAGUUCAUCUUUUCUAGAGCUUCAUCAUUAAUAAUGGCUGCAAAUUCUGCAAAAUUUGUGAUCUCUUUCACUUUAGUUGCUUCUCUUACUUCUUGUGCAACCUUUUUCUGCACAGCUGGAUACUUGCACAACAUGUAGAUGAACCAUGAUAGAGCAGCUGCUGUUGUGUCUUUUCCAGCAAUCACAAAAUUGAGAAUUAUGUCCCCUUCCGAUCCAAUAUUAAAAAACCUCUUGAUUUUCCAGAACACGUCAACAUAUCGCCAAAGGGUCAAUGCACUUGCAUCAUCAAAAGCACUGCUUUUGCAGCUUCAGACACUAUAUUAGCAAGUUUUGCCACAUUCUUCCUGAAGACCACACUGCUAAAGUCCCUCAAAACCUUUGUGGAGAACUCAUGGCUCGAAACCUUUCUUUGCUGGCGCCAUUUGUCACCGUCAACAGUGAAUAUCCCAUCACCUAGUAACCCACUUAGAUUGUUGUAAUUAUGGUCCCCCUGCACAAAGUUUGAGCAAGCUAAACCAUUACCCUUUCAGCCAUUGGAAUCUAAUCCCCAUGGAAAAGUGAACAGUCAAACAAAUUCUCAAAUUCUAACCCCUAAUUUUGGAUUCUCCAAAGUUUUCUUGUAUCGUCGAGUAUCGACAGUACUAGCAGGGUUUUUGAGAAUAUUCAAAACUGGGCGUUGAAUUCA